rnacentral:lncRNA from 1 species
AUGAAUCCUCUCAGAUUUAUAAAACAUCUUUCUUGUGCAGACGUUUGCUUGUCCAGUGGGUCCAAAUGGCUGCUUCAUGAUGUGAAUAUUGUCAUGCUGACCAAGAGGCUCACAGAACUGGAGAGAAUUUCCAGCUUCCCCAAAUUCCUAAGGACACCCAACACCUUCAGCUUCUCAGAAGUACAACAGGUAGGGAAAAGUCACAAUAUACCACUGUGGUUAAACACUUCCAAUCAGUUUGAAGAAUGUGUUUCUGCAAACUGGGAUGUGCUCAUCUUCUUUAAAAGUGUUUUCUAGCUCAUUCUGAAAUCAUCAGUGCUGGUUACCUCCUCUAAAUUCUUUCUAUAAACAUUCCUGUGUGAUAAUUUGAAUUUCUGGAGGCUUUUGAUCAAUUGCCUCCUAUUUGCACAGAAAGAUUCAUUUCCUAUGCAUUUCUCAUCUUUUUGUUUGCAUAUUUUUCAAUGAUACUGAAAAAUAGGAGAGAAAGCAUACUUCAAACUCCACCCUUAAAGAAAUCUGAACCACUCAACAUAAACCCACGAGGCUACUUGACCUUGGUCUCAACAUCUCAUUACUUUCUUGGUUAGUCUAGGAUCACUUAUUUUUAUGUUUUAUAUAAAUUCAUGCUUAGUUUAUGAUUUCUUUUUUCAAAGAUUUACUUUAUUUAUUUGAAAGCUAGAAUUAUAGAGAGAGGUAGAAACAGAGAGAAGUGGUUCACUCCCUAUAUGGACACAACAACCAAUACUGGGCCAAGAUGAAGUUAGGAGCCAGGAGUGUCUUUCUUGUCUCCCACAUGGGUACAGGGAGCCAAGGACUUGGGCCAACCUCUACUCCUUUCUCAUGUGCAUUAGCAGAGAGCUGGAUUAGAAGAGGACCAGCUGGGACUUGAACUGGCACCCAUAUGCAAUGCUAGUGCUGCAGGCUGGAGCUUUAACACACUGCAGCACAGUGUCAUUCCUAGCUUCAUAAUUUCUGAUGUCACAGCACAGAGGCUUACUCAUGACCAUCUUUUUUGAAAGAUUAUAUAUUUGAAAGUCAGAGUUACACAGAGAGAGGAGAGGCAAAGAGAGAGUACGGUCUUCCAUCCAAUGGUUCACUCCCCAAUUGGCCUCAAUAGCCAGAAUUGUGCUGAUCUGAAGCCAGGAGCCAGUAGCUUCUUCUGGGUCUCCCUUGGGUGCAGGGGUCCAAGGACUUGGACCAUCUUCUACUGCUUUCCCAGGUUAUAGCAGAGAGCUGGAUUGGAAGUGGAACAACUGGGUCUUGAACUGGUACCCAUAUGGGAUGCCGGCACUUCAGG